rnacentral:rRNA from 1 species
UGACACUGAACAUUGAGCCUUGAUGUGUAGGAUAGGUGGGAGGCUUUGAAGUGUGGACGCCAGUCUGCAUGGAGCCGACCUUGAAAUACCACCCUUUAAUGUUUGAUGUUCUAACGUUGGCCCCUAAUCGGGGUUGCGGACAGUGUCUGGUGGGUAGUUUGACUGGGGCGGUCUCCUCCUAAAGAGUAACGGAGGAGCACGAAGGUUGGCUAAUCCUGGUCGGACAUCAGGAGGUUAGUGCAAUGGCAUAAGCCAGCUUGACUGCGAGCGUGACGGCGCGAGCAGGUGCGAAAGCAGGUCAUAGUGAUCCGGUGGUUCUGAAUGGAAGGGCCAUCGCUCAACGGAUAAAAGGUACUCCGGGGAUAACAGGCUGAUACCGCCCAAGAGUUCAUAUCGACGGCGGUGUUUGGCACCUCGAUGUCGGCUCAUCACAUCCUGGGGCUGAAGUAGGUCCCAAGGGUAUGGCUGUUCGCCAUUUAAAGUGGUACGCGAGCUGGGUUUAGAACGUCGUGAGACAGUUCGGUCCCUAUCUGCCGUGGGCGCUGGAGAACUGAGGGGGGCUGCUCCUAGUACGAGAGGACCGGAGUGGACGCAUCACUGGUGUUCGGGUUGUCAUGCCAAUGGCACUGCCCGGUAGCUAAAUGCGGAAGAGAUAAGUGCUGAAAGCAUCUAAGCACGAAACUUGCCCCGAGAUGAGUUCUCCCUGAC